UUGUAAAGUGGCGCACGGGUGAGUAACACGUGGGUAAUCUGCCCUUGAGUUCGGGAUAACCCCGCGAAAGCGGGGCUAAUACCGAAUAAGACCACGGAGACCAAAGUCUCUGAGGUAAAAGGUGGCCUCUAUUUAUAAGCUACCACUUGAGGAUGAGCCCGCGGCCCAUUAGCUAGUUGGCGGGGUAAUGGCCCACCAAGGCUAUGAUGGGUAGCUGGUCUGAGAGGACGAUCAGCCACACUGGAACUGAGACACGGUCCAGACUCCUACGGGAGGCAGCAGUGGGGAAUAUUGCGCAAUGGGCGAAAGCCUGACGCAGCAACGCCGCGUGGGGGAUGAAGGUUUUCGGAUUGUAAACCCCUUUCGAUCGGAACGAAUCUCCUCCUGGUAAAUAAUCAGGAGGAUCGACGGUACCGAGAGAAGAAGCCACGGCUAACUCUGUGCCAGCAGCCGCGGUAAGACAGAGGUGGCGAGCGUUGUUCGGAUUUAUUGGGCGUAAAGCGAACGCAGGUGGUUUGGUAAGUCAGGGGUGAAAUUCCGCAGCUUAACUGCGGCAUUGCCUUUGAUACUGCCUUUCUUGAGUGCAUGAGGGGGAAGCGGAAUUCCGAGUGUAGAGGUGAAAUUCGUAGAUAUUCGGAGGAACACCGGUGGCGAAGGCGGCUUCCUGGCAUGUAACUGACACUCAUGUUCGAAAGCGUGGGUAGCAAACAGGAUUAGAUACCCUGGUAGUCCACGCCCUAAACGAUGGGCACUAGGUGUGGGAGGUAUCGACCCCUUCCGUGCCGCAGCUAACGCAUUAAGUGCCCCGCCUGGGGAGUACGGCCGCAAGGUUGAAACUCAAAGGAAUUGACGGGGGCCCGCACAAGCGGUGGUGCAUGUGGUUUAAUUCGACG
rnacentral:rRNA from 1 species